UCCGUGCCAGCAGCCGCGGUAAUACGGAGGGUCCAAGCGUUAUCCGGAAUCAUUGGGUUUAAAGGGUCCGCAGGCGGGCUAUUAAGUCAGUGGUGAAAUCUCUUGGCUUAACCAAGAAAUUGCCAUUGAAACUACUAGUCUUGAAUUCGGUCGAAGUGGGCGGAAUGUGUCAUGUAGCGGUGAAAUGCAUAGAUAUGACACAGAACACCGAUAGCGAAGGCAGCUCACUAGGCCUGAAUUGACGCUCAGGGACGAAAGCGUGGGGAGCGAACAGGAUUAGAUACCCUGGUAGUCCACGCCGUAAACGAUCAUUACUCGAUAUCAGCGAUAUACAGUUGGUGUCUAAGCGAAAGUGAUAAGUAAUGCACCUGGGGAGUACGAUCGCAAGGUUGAAACUCAAAGGAAUUGA
rnacentral:rRNA from 1 species